AGAGUUUGAUCAUGGCUCAGAUUGAACGCUGGCGGCAUGCCUUACACAUGCAAGUCGAACGGUAACAGGUCUUCGGAUGCUGACGAGUGGCGAACGGGUGAGUAAUACAUCGGAACGUGCCCGAUCGUGGGGGAUAACGAGGCGAAAGCUUUGCUAAUACCGCAUACGAUCUACGAAUGAAAGCGGGGGAUCUUCGGACCUCGCGCGGACGGAGCGGCCGAUGGCAGAUUAGGUAGUUGGUGGGAUAAAAGCUUACCAAGCCGACGAUCUGUAGCUGGUCUGAGAGGAUGAUCAGCCACACUGGGACUGAGACACGGCCCAGACUCCUACGGGAGGCAGCAGUGGGGAAUUUUGGACAAUGGGCGAAAGCCUGAUCCAGCCAUGCCGCGUGCAGGAUGAAGGCCUUCGGGUUGUAAACUGCUUUUGUACGGAACGAAAAGCCUCUUUCUAAUAAAGAGGGGUCAUGACGGUACCGUAAGAAUAAGCACCGGCUAACUACGUGCCAGCAGCCGCGGUAAUACGUAGGGUGCAAGCGUUAAUCGGAAUUACUGGGCGUAAAGCGUGCGCAGGCGGUUUUGUAAGACAGAGGUGAAAUCCCCGGGCUCAACCUGGGAACUGCCUUUGUGACUGCAAGGCUGGAGUGCGGCAGAGGGGGAUGGAAUUCCGCGUGUAGCAGUGAAAUGCGUAGAUAUGCGGAGGAACACCGAUGGCGAAGGCAAUCCCCUGGGCCUGCACUGACGCUCAUGCACGAAAGCGUGGGGAGCCAACAGGAUUAGAUACCCUGGUAGUCCAA
rnacentral:rRNA from 1 species